AGAGUUUGAUCCUGGCUCAGGAUGAACGCUGGCGGCGUGCCUAACACAUGCAAGUCGAGCGAUUCUCUUCGGAGAAGAGCGGCGGACGGGUGAGUAACGCGUGGGUAACCUGCCCUGUACACACGGAUAACAUACCGAAAGGUAUGCUAAUACGGGAUAAUGUACUUUUGUCGCAUGGCAAAAAUAUCAAAGCUCCAGCGGUACAGGAUGGACCCGCGUCUGAUUAGCUAGUUGGUGAGGUAAUGGCUCACCAAGGCGACGAUCAGUAGCCGACCUGAGAGGGUGAUCGGCCACACUGGAACUGAGACACGGUCCAGACUCCUACGGGAGGCAGCAGUGGGGAAUAUUGCACAAUGGGCGAAAGCCUGAUGCAGCAACGCCGCGUGAGCGAUGAAGGCCUUCGGGUCGUAAAGCUCUGUCCUCAAGGAAGAUAAUGACGGUACUUGAGGAGGAAGCCCCGGCUAACUACGUGCCAGCAGCCGCGGUAAUACGUAGGGGGCUAGCGUUAUCCGGAAUUACUGGGCGUAAAGGGUGCGUAGGUGGUUCCUUAAGUCAGAGGUGAAAGGCUACGGCUCAACCGUAGUAAGCCUUUGAAACUGAGAAACUUGAGUGCAGGAGAGGAGAGUAGAAUUCCUAGUGUAGCGGUCAAAUGCGUAGAUAUUAGGAGGAAUACCAGUUGCGAAGGCGGCUCUCUGGACUGUAACUGACACUGAGGCACGAAAGCGUGGGGAGCAAACAGGAUUAGAUACCCUGGUAGUCCACGCCGUAAACGAUGAGUACUAGGUGUCGGGGGUUACCCCCCUCGGUGCCGCAGCUAACGCAUUAAGUACUCCGCCUGGGAAGUACGCUCGCAAGAGUGAAACUCAAAUGAAUUGACGG
rnacentral:rRNA from 1 species